UGUCAGUGUGGGCAAGUCGCAUGGAAAUGCGCGCCGUGGAGGGUGAGAGCCCCGUCCAACUCACACAGGACAUACCCGCACGAGGGCGUUUCAGAUGAGUCGGGUAGCUUGGGAAUGCUGCUCUAAUCGGUGGUAAAUCUCAUCGAAGGCUAAAUAGCGGCUGGAGACCGAUAGCGAACAAGUACCGUGAGGGAAAGAUGACAAGCACUUUGAAAAGAGGGUGAAAAGAGCCUGAAACCGUCACGGGGGAAGCGGAUUGCGUUGGAUUGAUGGGCGCUUGUGUGUUCAGCCUUCGGGUGCAUUGGCACAAGUGCUUAUCCGCUGUGAGUUUUCGGGGGUCGAUUUUGGACCCCUGGGGACUGAGGGCUCCCUUUUUUAGGUGAGGACAGCGGAGUGACGACGCGAUACGACCCGUCUUGAAACACGGACCAAGGAGUCUAGCGCGGGUGCGAGUCGGAGGGUGCAAGCCCGUGGGCGAAGUGAAAGCGAGUUUUAAAAACGAGCAGUUUGGGGCGGCAUAAGAUCGUUGAUCUUAAGACCGACCCGGAGCAGUUGCGCUGGGACCCGAAAGAUGGUGAACUAUGCCGGAGUAGGGCAAAGCCAGAGGAAACUCUGGUGGAGGCUCGUAGCGGUGCUGACGUGCAAAUCGCUCGUCGAACUUGGGUAUAGGGGCGAAAGACUAAUCGAACCAUCUAGUAGCUGG
rnacentral:rRNA from 1 species